rnacentral:rRNA from 1 species
GAUGAACGCUGGCGGCGUGCCUAAUACAUGCAAGUCGAGCGAACAGACGAGGAGCUUGCUCCUCUGACGUUAGCGGCGGACGGGUGAGUAACACGUGGAUAACCUACCUAUAAGACUGGGAUAACUUCGGGAAACCGGAGCUAAUACCGGAUAAUAUAUUGAACCGCAUGGUUCAAUAGUGAAAGACGGUUUUGCUGUCACUUAUAGAUGGAUCCGCGCCGCAUUAGCUAGUUGGUACGGUAACGGCUUACCAAGGCAACGAUGCGUAGCCGACCUGAGAGGAUGAUCAGCCACACUGGAACUGAGACACGGUCCAGACUCCUACGGGAGGCAGCAGUAGGGAAUCUUCCGCAAUGGGCGAAAGCCUGACGGAGCAACGCCGCGUGAGUGAUGAAGGUCUUCGGAUCGUAAAACUCUGUUAUUAGGGAAGAACAAAUGUGUAAGUAACUAUGCACGUCUUGACGGUACCUGAUCAGAAAGCCACGGCUAAUUACGUG